ensembl:lncRNA
AUGCUGCCACCAGUUUUCAGGGUACCAAGGAGCUUUAGGCUGACUGAAGACAUCCCCCAACACAUCCAAGCAGCACAGAAGCAGAAAGACACAGCAGAGAAAAUACUGGAUGUCAUCAAGACAGGGAAGACAGAGAAACACCUCAAAGCCACGACAUCUGCAAUUGCCGAGGUACAUGGGGUUACCCCUGAAGAGGCAGAGCAAUUAUUCAGCAGUGGUCCAGGCAUCCAGAAAAGUGAAACAAAGCACUUUGAAGACCAGCUGGAAAGAAGGUUAAAUCAAGAAGGGUGCCAGCCACUAAGAAAGCACCGAAGGAUGGCCUCUUGAAAGCGUUCUUUCUCUUUCUCUUUGCACUCACUGUGUGGGGGAAAUGUUGCAUAUGAUGUGAGUGAAUAUAUACAUUAUAUAUAUAUAUAUAUAUAUAUAUAUAUAUACAUAUAUAUUUGUACAGUAUUAUUUGUCAAUAAAAAUCCAUGUCAUUGGCGGACUGACAAAUAUUGUUACCUCCUUGAAAAUGUGAUGAAAAUGUAGUGUCUUUGUUUCUCUUUGCACUCACUGUGUGGGGGAAAAAAAAUUGCAUAUGAUGUGAAUAUAUAUAUAUAUAUAUUUGUACAGUAUUAUUUGUCAAUAAAAAUCCAUGUCGGUGGCGGACUGACAUGCGGGGGGGUAUAGGGUUUCCAAUAUUGUUACCUCCUUGAAAAUGUGAUGACAAUGUAGUCUUUCUUUCUCUUUGCACUCACUGGCCCUCAUUUAUCAAACGAACGUACGACAGAAAAACGUGCGUACGACCAUUUCCACGCAAACUUCGGCAUUUAUCAAUCUGAACGUGAGUGGAAGCUACGAUCAAAUCUCACGUCAGGUCUGAGAUCGUGUACGCAAAUUUGAGUCUGUGGAUUUGCGGUGCAGCACAGCAAAAUCUGGCUGAGUCUGAAAAUAAUUAUUAAACAAACCUCAGCUGUCAUUAAGCAUAAGCAGUCACAUAUUUAGAUCAGAUCAAAACGGGUUCUUAAAACGAAUAAAACAAAAACAUUUUUUUUAAAAGCCCACAUUCUUACUGAAAGGCUACCACUUUUUUGUAAUAUAAAAUAUGAUAGGCUACGUGACAACUAAUUAAUGGAAUAUCAGGGUUCUCCCCAGACGGUGGAACAGCGGCGCUGCGCCGCUCUACCGCUCGGUCAGCGCCGCUAUACUCCGCGCGUGACAGUGUCGAGCGUCCGUCCGUCCGUCCGCCGUCCCCCGGUUGACGGCUAGGAGCUCCCGGCUGACGGCGAUGAGCGUCCGUCCGUACUGACGGAGUUGAUGACCGGCUGUCCGUACGUCCGUGUCUCCCCCCCCCCGGACUGACGUUGACGAGCGGUUGACGAGCGCCCCCCCGGACUGACAUUGACGAGCGGUCGCGCACCCCCCCCCCCCCCCCUGGACAGACGGUGCGCCGCUAUACUAAGAAUUUCUGGGGAGAACCCUGAAUAUCUAAUAACCCUGCUACAGAGCAGGAACGCACACACGCACACGGGUCACAGUGGAGCUGCUUCGGGUUGCUGAAGGGCAGGUGGCUCUGUCUCGGACCAGCAGGGGGAACGCUGCUGUAUACCCCGGAGAAAGUGUGCGAUAUCAUUUUGGCCUGUCAAGUUUUGCACAACAUUGUAUUAGUGAAUGGAGUGAGUGCCUUCGAUGUGCCGGCGCAGCCAGAUGAGCCAAUGCCCAUUGAACUGUGGCCAGCACAGCCUCCACUGGGGGCUAUACGGAGGAGACAGGACCUCAUUCAUCACCUUUAAAACGUAAAGUAUACCUUAAACUCUUGCAAAUGCUCUGCAGUAUUUAAUCAGUAAUGUGAAUUAUUGGUGGAAUUGGCUAAAGGCAUAAUAAAGACAGAAAAUGGAC